rnacentral:rRNA from 1 species
UGCCAGCAGCCGCGGUAAUACAGAGAUGGCAACCGUUGUUCGGAAUCACUGGGCUUAAAGAGCACGUAGGCGGAGUAUUAAGUUGAUUGUGAAAGACCACGCGUUAACCGUGGGGGGUCAGCUGAUACUGAUAGUCUUGAGGCCGAUAGGGGAGAGUGGAAUUCCUGGUGGAGCGGUGAAAUGCGUUGAUAUCAGGAGGAACGUCGGAGGCGAAGGCGACUCUCUGGGUCGGUUCCUGACGCUGAGGUGCGAAAGUGUGGGGAGCAAACAGGAUUAGAUA